rnacentral:rRNA from 1 species
UACGUAGGGUGCAAGCGUUAAUCGGAAUUACUGGGCGUAAAGCGUGCGCAGGCGGCUUUGCAAGACAGAUGUGAAAUCCCCGGGCUUAACCUGGGAAUUGCGUUGGAGACUGCAAGGCUGGAGUCUGGCAGAGGGGGGUAGAAUUCCACGUGUAGCAGUGAAAUGCGUAGAGAUGUGGAGGAAUACCGAUGGCGAAGGCAGCCCCCUGGGAUGAUACUGACGCUCAUGCACGAAAGCGUGGGGAGCAAACAGG